rnacentral:rRNA from 1 species
UGGGGAAUAUUGCACAAUGGGCGCAAGCCUGAUGCAGCCAUGCCGCGUGUAUGAAGAAGGCCUUCGGGUUGUAAAGUACUUUCAGCGGGGAGGAAGGGAGUCAAGUUAAUACCUUUGCUCAUUGACGUUACCCGCAGAAGAAGCACCGGCUAACUCCGUGCCAGCAGCCGCGGUAAUACGGAGGGUGCAAGCGUUAAUCGGAAUUACUGGGCGUAUCGCGCACGCAGGCGGUUUGUUAAGUCAGAUGUGAACUCCUCGGGCUCAACCUUGGACCUGCAUCUGAUCCUGGCACGCUUGAAUCUCGUAGAGGGGGGUAGAAUUCCAGGUGUAGCGGUGAAAUGCGUAGAGAUCUGGAGGAAUACCGGUGGCGAAGGCGGCCCCCUGGACGAAUGCUGACGCUCAGGUGCGAAAGCGUGGGGAGCAAACAGG